CUCGACCCAGUUCUCAUAAAUAAUUAUCUAUCAACAACAUUGUUCAUUCAAAACGGUUGAAUUACCCUCAGUUGUCCGUCAAUGAAAUCCUCGAGUCCUGUCGUCUGUAUUAUAGAGCCCACAGUUCGGGUGAACUAUAGAAUGCAGAUAACGUUCGUGAUGUCUGCGCCAGCCUUUAGUUAUAUUCUGAGUGCGUCCCUAAUUUUCUGCAUUCAUAAAAAAGAUGGAAGGAUGACUCCGUGCGAUCCUUGCAGAAAGAGUAAAGCCUCUCCGUUUCAUCUUUUUUCGACUUGUUGGUGAAGACUAUUGACGUAGCGAGGCGAUAUCUUAAGCCAUCUCUCUCUUGAAUCGGUGAAUGGAUUUCUCAUGACCGAUCUCCAUCAAUUAUCAACAAUUAAUUGGAAAAGUUCCCGGAUGUAAUGAAAGUUAAAAACACAACAA
rnacentral:lncRNA from 1 species